rnacentral:rRNA from 1 species
CCUACGGGUGGCAGCAGUGAGGAAUAUUGGUCAAUGGGCGCGAGCCUGAACCAGCCAAGUAGCGUGAAGGAUGACUGCCCUACGGGUUGUAAACUUCUUUUAUAAAGGAAUAAAGUGAGGCACGUGUGCCUUCUUGUAUGUCCUUUAUGAAUAAGGAUCGGCUAACUCCGUGCCAGCAGCAGCGGUAAUACGGAGGAUCCGAGCGUUAUCCGGAUUUAUUGGGUUUAAAGGGAGCGUAGAUGGGUUGUUAAGUCAGUUGUGAAAGUUUGCGGAUCAACCGUAAAAUUGCAAUUGAUACUGGCAGGCUGGAGUACAGGUGAGGUAGGCGGAAUUCGUGGUGUAGCGGUGAAAUGCUUAGAUAUCACGAAGAACACCGAUUGCGAAGGCAGCUUACUAAACUGCCACUGACAUUGAUGCUCGAAAGUGUGGGUAGCAAACAGGAUUAGAGACCCGGGUAGUC